rnacentral:tmRNA from 1 species
GGGGAUGAUCAGGCUUCGACGAAUUGCACGCACAACAAGUUGCAUGUCGAGCUAUUCUGACUUGAGCUCGUAAAUCACGUCAGAAAACCUGUAACUGCGAACGAUUAUUCGUACGCGAUGGCGGCAUAGACCGCUGUCUGUCUCCUAUGUCGCCCGCUCACAGGCGGCAUAGCAGGCAUCGCCAAGUGUGAGCACCCUAUCAAGGAUUCUGGCUAGAUCCGCGAUAGUUUGUAGAGUUCUAUAAAGUUUGGUUAGAAGCCCUUGCCGACGACAGGAUUCGGUUGCACGCCAAAGUUUCGGCAAGCUACUAAAGUGUAACCUACGCAUGUAGACGCUUGUCUGUCCGACCUUUCGGACCCGGGUUCGAUUCCCGGCAUCUCCACUG